rnacentral:misc_RNA from 1 species
AACAAGGCGUACCUGCGGACCUGCGGAAGGAUCAUUAUCGAGUUGCAAAACUCCAACCCUUUGUGAACAUACCUCAGUCGUUGCUUCGGCGGUGGACGGCCUGUUUUUCGGAACGGCCGGAAGCCGCCGGAGGUUCCAAACUCGUAUUUUUUAGUGUAUCUCUGAGCCUGAAAACAAAUAAUCAAAACUUUUAACAAUGGAUCU